rfam:Rattus norvegicus chromosome 14, whole genome shotgun sequence.
GGGGAUUUAGCUCAGUGGUAGAGCGCUUGCCUAGGAAGCGCAAGGCCCUGGGUUCGGUCCCCAGCUCCU